CUACGUGCCAGCAGCCGCGGUAAUACGUAGGUGGCAAGCGUUGUCCGGAAUUAUUGGGCGUAAAGCGCGCGCAGGCGGAUCAGUCAGUCUGUCUUAAAAGUUCGGGGCUUAACCCCGUGAUGGGAUGGAAACUGCUGAUCUAGAGUAUCGGAGAGGAAAGUGGAAUUCCUAGUGUAGCGGUGAAAUGCGUAGAUAUUAGGAAGAACACCAGUGGCGAAGGCGACUUUCUGGACGAAAACUGACGCUGAGGCGCGAAAGCCAGGGGAGCGAACGGGAUUAGAUACCCCGGUAGUCCUGGCCGUAAACGAUGGGUACUAGGUGUAGGAGGUAUCGACCCCUUCUGUGCCGGAGUUAACGCAAUAAGUACCCCGCCUGGGGAGUACGGCCGCAAGGCUAAAACUCAAAGAAAUUGACGGGGGCCCGCACAAGCGGCGGAGCAUGCGGAUUAAUUCGAUGCAACGCGAAGAACCUUACCAAGGCUUGACAU
rnacentral:rRNA from 1 species